rnacentral:rRNA from 1 species
ACUGGGAUUGCCUUAGUAACGGCGAGUGAAGCGGCAAUAGCUCAAAUUUGAAAGCUGGCGUCUUUGGCGUCCGCGUUGUAAUUUGUAGAGGAUGCUUCGGCGAGGGCUCCGGUCUAAGUUCCCUGGAACGGGACGUCAUAGAGGGUGAGAAUCCCGUAUGUGAUCGGUUGCCUAAGCCAUGUGAAGCUCCUUCGACGAGUCGAGUUGUUUGGGAAUGCAGCUCUAAAUGGGAGGUAAAUUUCUUCUAAAGCUAAAUACCGGCCAGAGACCGAUAGCGCACAAGUAGAGUGAUCGAAAGAUGAAAAGCACUUUGGAAAGAGAGUUAAAAAGUACGUGAAAUUGUUGAAAGGGAAGCGCUUGCAACCAGACUCGUCCGCAGUUGCUCAGCCGGUCUCUUGACCGGCGUACUCUUCUGCGGCCGGGCCAGCAUCAGUUCGGGCGGCCGGAUAAAGGCCUCGGGAAUGUAGCACCCUUCGGGGUGUGUUAUAGCCCGGGGUGGAAUGCGGCCAGCCUGGACUGAGGAUCUCGCUUCGGCUAGGAUGCUGGCGUAAUGGUUGUAAGCGGCCCGUCUUGAAACACGGACCAAGGAGUCUAACAUCUAUGCGAGUGUUUGGGUGUCAAACCCAUGCGCGUAAUGAAAGUGAACGGAGGUGGGAACCCUCACGGGUGCACCAUCGACCGAUCCUGAUGUCUUCGGAUGGAUUUGAGUAUGAGCAUAGCUGUUGGGACCCGAAAGAUGGUGAACUAUGCCUGAAUAGGGUGAAGCCAGAGGAAACUCUGGUGGAGGCUCGCAGCGGUUCUGACGUGCAAAUCGAUCGUCAAAUUUGGGUAUAGGGGCGAAAGACUAAUCG